rnacentral:lncRNA from 1 species
GUUAUAUUCUUUAUUUUUCCUUGUUUGCUAAUAUUAUUUUGAACAACAACAGACUCUGCAGGUAAAUAGAAAUAAAGAAAAAUUGACGUAAAAUUCUCAACAAGUAGCAUCAGAGCAUCAGGUGGUUCGGAGUAUUAGAGCAACUGAAAAAUAUGUCGUUGAAAUAUGAAGUAAAGAAAUUUGACAGGAUAAUUAAUUUUGUCUUGUGGCAAUUACAAGUUAGGGAUUUAUCGAUUCAAUUUGGACUGCACAAAACUUUGAAAGGAAAACCAACCAAGAGUUCUGGCAAGGAAACUAAUCCAGUAUAAGCGAUGAGGAUUGGAAAGAAUAGGAUUUGAAGGCUGCAAACAUGAUACUUCUCUGUCUGGCUAAAAGCGUUCUUGCAAAUAUUCAUGGGAUAUUUGCUGCAAAGGAACUAUGGAAGAAGCUAGAAGAAUUAUAUCAAACGAAGUGCCUCUCAAAUCAGUCAUACCUGAAGGAGUAAUUUCAUUCAUUGCGCAUGGAGGCAGAUAUGAAAAUCUUAGACCAUCUUAGUGUUCUCAACGAGAUUGUUUCAGAACUGGAGGCUACUGGAGUGAAGACAGAUGAUGAGGAUAAGGCACUACGACUCAUCCGGUCUCUUCUGUCUAUCUAUAAACAUAUCAAGCCAAUCUUGAUGUAUAGGAAAGAAACUGUGAGUUUCAUAGAAGUGACAAGCAACUUGAUUUCAAAAGAAAGAAGAUUAGGGGGACAAAAUAUUCUAUCUAACAAUGCGGUGCUUGUGAUUGAAAAGGGGAAGAAGGACAACAUCAUGAGGAAGAAAGGAACUUGUUGAAACUGCGACCGACUGGCCACGUGAAAAGAAAUUGUCCAAAAGGUGAAGCAGGGUCGGCUAACUGCUUGGGGACGGACAAUGCGUCUCUCCUGGCGGAGGAGGACACGAAUGUGGUGCUAUAAAGUAAGAUGGGAAUAUCAUCAUGGCAUGUCGCCAGUUGCCAUGGUAAAUGAUGUGUUCUUAUUGGCGCGGGUUAGCUUAUCUGCACAUAGCAUUGACUAACAUUUGAUGUAAGGUGUGUAGGUAUGUGGUGGUGUUGUGAUGUCGAUGGUUGUUGAGCUCUCUAGAAAAGUCAGUGGGAGAGUUGCAUCAUAACUAUCAGCAAGGUUGUUUCAACAUGUAGCCGAUGAAAUGCUUGGAGUUUGUAGAUAAUUUUGAGUGGUUAUACUCAUAUGGUGGAGUAUGAGGCCAUUAAAGUAUGUCACAGGCUUACCUGUUUUUUUCAAGUAUUGUUAUUAAAAGUUGUAGAAGAGAUGACAAUAUUUUGACUCGUUUUCGGCGAGAUGGAGAUUGUUGGGUAAUUGCCUCAAAAGAUAAAAGGUGA